GGGUGUAGCUCAAUGGUAGAGUCCUUGCCUAGCAUGCUUGAGCACCUGGGUUUAAUCCCCAGUGCCGCA
rnacentral:tRNA from 1 species